GAGCUCUGAUGUUCACCAAUUCUCUGCUUAAUUGGAUGAGUAGUAUGUAGUUGGACAUAGACUUCAUCACAUGGAUAUUUCAACAGAGACAGAAAACACCUGUUGCUGCCAAGCCCUGCCCUCAUUCUUCUCUCCCAAGCUUUACGGAGUGCUUCGAAGAGAUGUGCAAGGAGUUUGACUCAUUCAGCAAAGGCCAGUGAAAUAAAGAGGUGCCUGCAUAAUGAGGAGUGAAGGAGAGGCUCAGACAAGCGAGGAACCUUCUCACACCUGCUGCCCUCGACGGCCCACACAACUGCCGGAUUACACAUUAUAUUUCACCACAUCCCACCCUCAACCUGAAUGUCAACCCUACUUCAGAUGAUGAAGAGAUGCUUCUCAAAGGGAUCGUACUGCUGUGAUGACCUUCCAGGAAAGACCAUUACACACCUACUGAUACAUCAGAGCAGUAAUGAUCAGCUCUACUAAUAGAACAACCCCACUGCUGUGGUCCAAUCCAUGGAAGGUGAAGUAGCCUCAUGGGGGAAGGGCCAAGAGAAAUGAUCCUGUACUUUGAUGGAGCAAGGCGAGGAGAAUGUCAAUAAAGUCAUGUCCCA